GAUGAACGCUGGCGGCGUGCUUAACACAUGCAAGUCGAACGGUGAAGGCGGAGCUUGCUCUGCUGGAUCAGUGGCGAACGGGUGAGUAACACGUGAGCAAUCUGCCCCUGACUCUGGGAUAAGCGCUGGAAACGGCGUCUAAUACUGGAUACGAGCUGCGAAGGCAUCUUCAGUAGCUGGAAAGAACUUCGGUCAGGGAUGAGCUCGCGGCCUAUCAGCUUGUUGGUGAGGUAACGGCUCACCAAGGCGUCGACGGGUAGCCGGCCUGAGAGGGUGACCGGCCACACUGGGACUGAGACACGGCCCAGACUCCUACGGGAGGCAGCAGUGGGGAAUAUUGCACAAUGGGCGAAAGCCUGAUGCAGCAACGCCGCGUGAGGGACGACGGCCUUCGGGUUGUAAACCUCUUUUAGCAGGGAAGAAGCGAAAGUGACGGUACCUGCAGAAAAAGCGCCGGCUAACUACGUG
rnacentral:rRNA from 1 species